AGUCCGCGGCUUGUGUGCCGCGAGGAGAGGCGCAAAGGGUGACACACCAGGAAAGCAGGUAGCAGGCAAGAGUGUGGUUAUCGUUGGACCAGGAUUCAGGAUCUGACUGAGUAGCUGACUCUUAAUCCAGUUUGUGUUGAUCACCAGGAGGAUCUGGACCUCAGUAUUACCACAUCUAGAGCUAUAAUCACAUCCCUGUUAAGCCUUCCUGAGAUCACACCAAAUGUCCUUGAUGGGAAUUGUAAACAACCCUUACUUCUGGUUUCUAAUGAUAUUCCAGGAAAGGAGCCUAACUAGAGUCAGUGAUAUGCCAACUCCACCUUUGCCUUCCACCAUGUUUGGAAGCUCCCUGAGGCCUCACCAGGAGCAGAUGCUCGUCCCAUGCUUCCUAUAAGCCUGCAGAACUGGAAAAGAAAGCUGGAUAAAGUAUUUAUAGAAGAUAGAGGACCUGUGGUGGCUCAUGCCUGUAAUCCAAGGUGGAAGGAUUGCUUGAGGCCAGAAGUUCAAGACCAGUCCAAGCAACAUAGCAAGGCCCCAUCUCUACAAAAAAUGAAAAUAAAAUUAGCCGAGCGUGAUGGCUCAUGCCUGUAGUUCUAGCUUCUAGAGAGGCUGAGGCAGGA
rnacentral:lncRNA from 10 species